UCAUCUCUUUCAACAAGAGAGACAACACGAUGGUCUAAGCAAAUUUCACUGCUUCUGGAGAGCAGUAAAUUGGAGAUAAAAUAUCUCUUGGAAUGGAAGGGAACCAUGGAGAAAGGAAUUACUGACCUUGAAUCAUGGAAAGGUAC